AUAAAAUAAUUAUGUUUUUAUAAAUUUAUUAUAAAUUUAUUUUACAUAUAAAUUUUAGUAUAUAAUUUUAAUUAUUUUAAUAAUAAUUAAUUUAAUUUAGUAGUAAUUAAUAUUAAAAAUUUAAGAAAUUAAGAUUUAGUAAUAUUAAAAUUAAUAACUAAUUUUGUGCCAGCAGUUGCGGUUAAACAAAAGUUAAAUUAAAUUAUUUCAGUAUUUAAUAAAUAAUUAUAAAAUUAUUAAAUUAAAUAUUAAAUUAUUAAGUGAAAUUUUAAUUUAAUUAAAUUUUAUUUAAAAAUUAUGAUUUAAUAAAUUUUAAUAUAAACUAGGAUUAGAUACCCUAUUAUUAAAAAUUUAAUUUAUAAUACUAAAAUAGUAAAUAAUAAUUUAUUGAAACUUAAAUAAUAUGGCGGUAUUUUAGUUCAUUUAGAGGAAUCUGUCUAAUAAUUGAUAAUCCACGAAUAAAUUUACUUAAUUUAUAAUUUUGUAUAUCAUUGUUAAAAAAAUAUUUUUUAGGAAAAAUAAUAUUUAAAAAUUAAAAUUAAAAAUUAAAUCAGAUCAAGAUGCAGAAUAUAAUUAAGAAUAUGAUGGAUUACAUUAAAUAUAUUUAAAUGAAUAAUUUUAUUGUAAUAAAAAUUUGAAGGUGGAUUUAAAUGUAAUUUUAAUUAGUUUAUUAAAAUGAUUAAAAAUUAAAAUAUGUACAUAUUGCCCGUCACUUUCAUUUAAAAAUUGAAAUAAGUCGUAACAAAGUAGAGGUACUGGAAAGUGUUUCUAGAAAGA
rnacentral:ncRNA from 1 species